CCCUCCUCCUGUGCGCCGCUCCUAUCUUCCUCCUCCCGAUUCCCCAUCGCCGCCACCCACCACAUCCUCGCCUCUGUCCUCCCACAGCUCGCCGCUGGGCCUCCCCCUCACCUCAGCUCGCCGCUCCGCGGCUCCGCCGGUGCCAGAUCCGCCGCUCCCCAACCAAACCAUCCCUCCCGCAACCCAUUUCUCUCUCUCGUGCGAACCCUCGUACCGCGACCAACGCACGCCGAUUCCGGCGACGUCGGCCACCGCGCAACACACUCACAACCUGGUCUCUGACCCCUCCGUCCUCCAGGUCGGUUGGAUCCGCCGCUCCCGGUUUCCGACGCUCGCCCACGACCCCUAGCCCAUGGCUAGGUUUUCGGCUGCGGUGUCACCUGCAUCGACGGCGCAUCUCCGGCGGCUCCUCUCUGUCGCACACAGCGCCCCCUCGCGCCCUCUCCGCCUCUUGGAUGGCGGGCACCCUUAGCUUGGUCCGCUCGCGCACGUUGGGCUGGACGACGGCGACCCCGACCUCCUCUGCCUCGUGUCCCACGCGGCCGUGCAUCCUGCCGCGACCCCCUCUGCCGCGUGACGGCGAACGCCGACCUGCAAUGCGACCGCCGCAUCGCCUACAGACCUCUUCGAUUACUAGCUUGUAUGGGCCUGAAGAAAGAAAUAAUUUUGCAGGUGCUUUUUGCAUAACAAGCUGAGUGGAUGCUUUAUUUCCUAAGGUACGAUCAUAUCGCAGGCUACUUGGUGCUGCACAUCACAAUCAGCCACGACAUAUAAGUUGCCAUCAAGAGCGUUGACCGCGAGAGCAUGAAUGACAACCUCAAUAGUUUAUAUGUUAUGUUCAUGUAAAAUGGAUUGUACUGGUUCUUAACCCUGUUGUGUAAUAUAUUUUUGUGAAUCUAUGUUGUUAGUUAUCAUUUCAUAAAGGAUUUUGUAAACUGCUAUGUUGUAGAUACAUAAAUAUGGCUGGCAGCAUAUCAAAUAAACCUAAUGUUUGACACUUUGCAAAUACUUUUUGUUGGGCCAAAAUUAGCAUUAGGAUUUGUGAAACAUAUUAUGCUAAAAACGUA